rnacentral:rRNA from 1 species
UUUUAGAGUUUUGGAUCUGGCUCAGAACGAACGCUGGCGGCAUGCUUAACACAUGCAAGUUGAACGCAGGAUAGAGCUUCGGUUCUAUUGCUGAGUAGCAAACGGGUGAGUAACGCGUGGGAAUCUACCUUUUUGUGGGGGAUAACUGAGGGAAACUUCAGCUAAUACCGCAUAAGCUCUACGGAGGAAAGGCUUCGGCCGCAAGAAGAGGAGCCCGCGUCAGAUUAGGUAGUUGGUGGGGUAAAGGCCUACCAAGCCAAUGAUCUGUAGCUGGUCUGAGAGGAUGAUCAGCCACACUGGGACUGAGACACGGCCCAGACUCCUACGGGAGGCAGCAGUGGGGAAUAUUGGACAAUGGGGGAAACCCUGAUCCAGCAAUGCCGCGUGAAUGAAGAAGGCCUUAGGGUUGUAAAGUUCUUUCACCUGUGACGAUAAUGACGGUAGCAGGAGAAGAAGCCCCGGCUACUCCUCGCGUACUGC